GGUGGCCUCUCUUUGAAGCUGCCGUUGAAGGAUGGUCCCGCGUCCCAUUAGCUUGUUGGUGGGGUAAUGGCCUACCAAGGCGACGAUGGGUAGCCGGCCUGAGAGGGUGUCCGGCCACACUGGGACUGAGAUACGGCCCAGCCUCCUACGGGAGGCAGCAGUCGAGAAGCUUCCGCAAUGGGCGAAAGCCUGACGGAGCGACGCCGCGUGAGUGAAGAAGGCCCUAUGGGUUGUAAAACUCUGUCAGAUUGGGAAGAAAAUUCUGCGGUUAACACCCGUGGAACUUGACGGUACCAUCAGAGGAAGCACCGGCUAACUCCAUGCCAGCAGCCGCGGUAAUACGGAGGGUGCAAGCGUUGUUCGGAUUCACUGGGUAUAAAGGGUGCGCAGGCGGCCCGAUAAGUCAGAGGUGAAAUAUGACGGCUCAACCGUCAAACUGCCUCUGAAACUGUCAGGCUUGAGUUCGAGAGAGGUAGGUGGAAUUCCAGGUGUAGCGGUGAAAAGCGUAAAUACCUGGAGGAACACCGGUGGCGAAGGCGGCCUACUGCUCGAUACUGACGCUCAGGCACGAAAGCAUGGGGAGCGAACGGGAUUAGAUACCCCGGUAGUCCAUGCCGUAAACGAUGGGUACUAGGUGUUGGGGGAGUCUACCCCCUCAGUGCCGCAGCUAAUGCAUUAAGUACCCCACCUGGGGAGUACGAUCGCAAGGUUGAAACUCAAAGGAAUUGACGGGGGCCCGCACAAGCGGUGGAGCAUGUGGUUUAAUUCGAUGCGACGCGAAGAGCCUUACCUAGGCUUGACAUGCAGGGGACAGGUGUAGAAAUACAUCCUUCUUCGGACUCCUGUACAGGUGCUGCAUGGCUGUCGUCAGCUCGUGUCGUGAAAUGUUGGGUUAAGUCCCGCAACGAGCGCAACCCUUGUCUUUAGUUGCCAUCAGGUAAUGCUGGGGACUCUAGAGAGACUGCCGGUGACAUACCGGAGGAAGGUGGGGAUGACGUCAAGUCAGCAUGGCCCUUACGCCUAGGGCUACACACGUGCUACAAUGGUCGGUACAGUGGGCAGCAAUACAGCGAUGUGGAGCGAAUCCCAAAAAGCCGGCCUCAGUUCGGAUUGAAGUCUGCAACUCGACUUCAUGAAGUUGGAAUCGCUAGUAAUCGCGUAUCAGAACGACGCAGUGAAUACGUUCCCGGGCCUUGUACACACCGCCCGUCAAGUCAACCGAGUUGGUUGCACCCCAAGUCGCUGAGCUAACCCGAAAGGGAGGCAGGUGCCCAAGGUGUGAUUAGCGAGGGGGACUAAGUCGUAACAAGGUA
rnacentral:rRNA from 1 species